CUUCACUGCAGGCUGGCAUUGGGUUCGGGCUUUUCUUGCGCAGUCUAGGUGGGAGGCUUUGAAGUUUCCUUCCGGGGAGCUGGAGCCAUCAGUGAGAGACCACUCUGGAAAGGUAGAAUCCUAAUGGUAUCCUUGAAUCAGGACACUUGACAUUCAGCUAGACAGUUUUUCUGGGCGGAAGUCCUAAAAGUAACGGAGCUGUGCAAAGGUUCCCUCAGUCUUGGACGGAAUCAGACGUGGAGUGUAAGGCAAAAGGGAGCUUGACUGCAAGAACCUAAAGUCGAGCAGGAGCGAAAGCUGGC
rnacentral:rRNA from 1 species